AGGUUAGUUUUACCCUACUGAUGACAAGUCGUUGCGAUAGUAAUCCUGCUCAGUACGAGAGGAACCGCGGGAUCAGACAUUUGGUUCAUGCGCUCGGCUGAAAGGCCGGUGGCGCGAAGCUAGCAUCUGCAAGAUUAUGACUGAACGCCUCUAAGUCAGAAUCUUUUCUAGUCAUUGGCAACGAUAAGUUGCGUCCAGACUCGAUGCGAGGAAACGAUUAGGCUUUGCUAUACGGCGAAGCCAUUAUCAGACCACGGUAGCAGGCAGUAUGGGAUUGUUACGAAAAAGCAAUUUUUUGAAGUCAGUUGAAUUCAAUCAAACUGCUAACAAUUCCACUGCGAAUGACUCCAUUCGAAUCAAUCGAAGCACAGCGGUCAGGAUGUCGAACAUUUUGCAGACGACAAAAAUACCGGUUCAGGUGUCGUAAUCAGUAGAGCAGUCAACACACUGCGAUCUGAUGAGACUCAUCCUUGUAAUCGAUUUGCUCGU
rfam:Trichinella murrelli scaffold1204s, whole genome shotgun sequence.